GGGAGUGACGGAGAAGGCUAAGUUGAGCGUGUUAAUGGAUUCACGUGUAAGCAGUGAGGUGGUCAUGUAGGCAAAUCCGCAUGGCAUAACAUUGAGCUGUGAUGCCGAAGCCGUAUGGCGAAGUCAACUGAUGUCACGCUUCCAAGAAAAGCUUCUAGGGUUAAUUUAGUAAGUGCCCGUACCGAUAACCGACACAGGUAGGCGAGGAGAGAAUCCUAAGAUGAGCGAGAGAACUCUUGUUAAGGAACUCGGCAAAAUGACCCCGUAACUUCGGGAGAAGGGGUGCUUGUGAAAGCAAGCCGCAGUGAAUAGGCCCAGGCGACUGUUUAUCAAAAACACAGGUCUCUGCUAAACCGCAAGGUGAUGUAUAGGGGCUGACGCCUGCCCGGUGCUGGAAGGUUAAGAGGAGAGGUUAGCGCAAGCGAAGCUUUGAAUUGAAGCCCCAGUAAACGGCGGCCGUAACAAUAACGGUCCUAAGGUAGCGAAAUUCCUUGUCGGGUAAGUUCCGACCCGCACGAAAGGCGUAACGAUCUGGGCGCUGUCUCAACAAGAGACUCGGUGAAAUCAUAGUACCUGUGAAGAUGCAGGUUACCCGCGACAGAACGGAAAGACCCCGUGGAGCUUUACUGUAGCUUGAUAUUGAGCACUGGUGACACAUGUACAGGAUAGGUAGGAGACGAAGAAGCCAGGACGCCAGUCUUGGUGGAGUCGCUGUUGGGAUACUACCCUUGUGUUACUGGGGUUCUAACCCGUGGCCAUGAUCUGGUCAGGGAACAGUGUCAGGUGGGCAGUUUGACUGGGGCGGUCGCCUCCCAAAGAGUAACGGAGGCGCCCAAAGGUUCCCUCAGAAUGGUUGGAAAUCAUUCGAAGAGUGUAAAGGCAGAAGGGAGCUUGACUGCGAGACCUACAAGUCGAGCAGGGACGAAAGUCGGGCUUAGUGAUCCGGCGGUACCGAAUGGAAGGGCCGUCGCUCAACGGAUAAAAGCUACCCCGGGGAUAACAGGCUGAUCUCCCCCAAGAGUUCACAUCGACGGGGAGGUUUGGCACCUCGAUGUCGGCUCAUCGCAUCCUGGGGCUGUAGUCGGUCCCAAGGGUUGGGCUGUUCGCCCAUUAAAGCGGUACGCGUGCUGGGUUCAGAACGUCGUGAGACAGUUCGGUCCCUAUCCGUCGUGGGCGUAGGAAAUUUGAGAGGAGCUGUCCUUAGUACGAGAGGACCGGGAUGGACACACCGCUGGUGUACCAGUUGUUCUGCCAGGAGCAUAGCUGGGUAGCUACGUGUGGACGGGAUAAACGCUGAAAGCAUCUAAGCGUGAAGCCCCCCUCAAGAUGAGAUUUCCCAUUCGAAAGAAGUAAGAUCCCUUGAAGACGACAAGGUAGAUAGGUCAGAAGUGGAAGUGUGGUGACACAUGGAGCGGACUGAUACUAAUCGAUCGAGGACUUAACC
rnacentral:rRNA from 1 species